rnacentral:tRNA from 4 species
GGUGCGGUGGCGCGGCUGGAAUAGGCAGCGGCCUCAUAAGCCGUAGGGGAAACCCUCAUCCUGGUUCGAGUCCAGGUCGCACCUCCA